rnacentral:rRNA from 1 species
AUUGAACGCUGGCGGCAUGCCUUACACAUGCAAGUCGAACGGCAGCACGGGAGCAAUCCUGGUGGCGAGUGGCGAACGGGUGAGUAAUAUAUCGGAACGUGCCCAGUCGUGGGGGAUAACGUAGCGAAAGCUACGCUAAUACCGCAUACGAUCUAUGGAUGAAAGCGGGGGAUCGCAAGACCUCGCGCGAUUGGAGCGGCCGAUAUCAGAUUAGGUAGUUGGUGAGGUAAAGGCUCACCAAGCCAACGAUCUGUAGCUGGUCUGAGAGGACGACCAGCCACACUGGAACUGAGACACGGUCCAGACUCCUACGGGAGGCAGCAGUGGGGAAUUUUUGGGACAAUGGACGCAAGUCUGAUCCAGCCAUUCCGCGUGCAGGAUGAAGGCCCUCGGGUUGUAAACUGCUUUGUACGGAACGAAAAGGUUUGUCUUAAUACGAUGAGCUCAU